rnacentral:lncRNA from 1 species
GCUGGGUCGGCUGGGUCAUAAACCAACAGAUCCAAAGUACACCUAGAAAUCAAACAGGUCGAAUAGGGCCAGAGCAUAAUCCAAUAAAUCUAAUUCAACCAGAAACAUGGAAUGGAUCCGAUUUUGAAACUCGAUUUGGCCUUACAAAUCCUUUAAAACGAUUGUGUGUAAGCUGGUGUGAUUUGAUUGGGUCAUGGAUUGAUCUGACCC